GUUAGGAUGACUUUCUUUUGACUGAUAUUAUUUAUGAGGAAUAUUUGAAAUACCUCUAAGAAGUUCUGAAUGU
rfam:Strongylocentrotus purpuratus Contig110324_fixed, whole genome shotgun sequence.